UGGGGAAUAUUGGACAAUGGGCGAAAGCCUGAUCCAGCCAUGCCGCGUGUGUGAAGAAGGUCUUCGGAUUGUAAAGCACUUUAAGUUGGGAGGAAGGGCAGUAAGCGAAUACCUUGCUGUUUUGACGUUACCGACAGAAUAAGCACCGGCUAACUCUGUGCCAGCAGCCGCGGUAAUACAGAGGGUGCAAGCGUUAAUCGGAAUUACUGGGCGUAAAGCGCGCGUAGGUGGUUCGUUAAGUUGAAUGUGAAAGCCCCGGGCUCAACCUGGGAACUGCAUCCAAAACUGGCGAGCUAGCGUAGGGCAGAGGGUGGUGGAAUUUCCUGUGUCGCGGUGAAUUGCGUAGCUAUAGGAAGGAACACCAGUGGCGAAGGCGACCACCUGGGCUCAUACUGACACUGAGGUGCGAAAGCGUGGGUAGCAAACAGG
rnacentral:rRNA from 1 species